rnacentral:rRNA from 1 species
UGGGGAAUAUUGCACAAUGGGCGCAAGCCUGAUGCAGCCAUGCCGCGUGUAUGAAGAAGGCCUUCGGGUUGUAAAGUACUUUCAGCGGGGAGGAAGGGAGUAAAGUUAAUACCUUUGCUCAUUGACGUUACCCGCAGAAGAAGCACCGGCUAACUCCGUGCCAGCAGCCGCGGUAAUACGGAGGGUGCAAGCGUUAAUCGGAAUUACUGGGCGUAAAGCGCACGCAGGCGGUUUGUUAAGUCAGAUGUGAAAUCCCCGGGCUCAACCUGCGAACGGCAUCUGAUACUGGCAAGCUUGAGUCUCGUAGAGGGGGGUAGAAUUCCAGGUGUAGCGGUGAAAUGCGUAGAGAUCUGGAGGAAUACCGGUGGCGAAGGCGGCCCCCUGGACGAAGACUGACGCUCAGGUGCGAAAGCGUGGGGAGCAAACAGG